ACGGGAGGCAGCAGUGGGGGAUAUUGCACAAUGGGGGAAACCCUGAUGCAGCGACGCCGCGUGAGUGAUGAAGUAUUUCGGUAUGUAAAGCUCUACCAGCAGGGAAGAUAAUGACGGUACCUGACUAAGAAGCACCGGCUAAAUACGUGCCAGCAGCCGCGGUAAUACGUAUGGUGCAAGCGUUAUCCGGAUUUACUGGGUGUAAAGGGAGCGUAGACGGCAUGGCAAGCCAGAUGUGAAAGGCAGGGGCUCAACCCCUGGACUGCAUUUGGAACUGUCAAGCUAGAGUAUCGGAGAGGUAAGUGGAAAUCCUAGUGUAGCGGUGAAAUGCGUAGAUAUUAGGAGGAACACCAGUGGCGAAGGCGGCUUACUGGACGAUAACUGACGUUAAGGCUCGAGAGCGUGGGGAACAAACAGAAUUAGAUACCCUGGUA
rnacentral:rRNA from 1 species